rnacentral:rRNA from 1 species
GACGAACGCUGGCGGCGUGCUUAACACAUGCAAGUCGAACGGUGAGGCCCUGCUUUUGGGGUGUGUUCGGGAGGCGAAAGUGUGAGUAAGACGUGCUUCACCUGCCCUUGAGUUUGGUCUAACUUCAUGAAACUGGUGCUGAUACUUGACAGGUUCUCCUGCGGCAUGGUGUGGGUUGGAAAUUUUCGGCGGUUGGGGAUGGACUCGCGGCUUAUCAGCUUGUUGGUGGGGUAGUGGCUUACCAAGGCUUUGACGGGUAGCCGGCCUGAGAGGGUGACCGGCCACAUUGGGACUGAGACACGGCCCAGACUCCUACGGGAGGCAGCAGUGGGGAAUAUUGCGCAAUGGGCGGAAGCCUGAUGCAGCAACGCCGCGUGCGGGAUGACGGCCUUCGGGUUGUAAACCGCUUUCGCCUGUGACGAAGCGUGAGUGACGGUACUGGGUAAAGAAGCACCGGCUAACUACGUG